GGUCAAGCUACAAAGGGCAGAUGGUGGAUACCUAGGCACACAGAGGCGACGAAGGACGUGACGACCGACGAUAUGCUUCGGGGAGCUGGAAGUAAGCAUUGAUCCGAAGAUUUCCGAAUAGGGCAACCUUAAACAUGACCACCUGAAUCCAUAGGGUGGAACAAGCCAACCCAGCGAAUUGAAACAUCUUAGUAGCUGGAGGAAGAGAAAGCAAACGCGAUUUCCUGAGUAGCGGCGAGCGAAACGGAAACAGCCUAAACCAGUGGAUUUAUCCAUUGGGGUUGUGGGACGACAAUGUGUAUCAGAGCGGUUAAACGAAGUAGUGAAAAGCUACACCAGAGAAGGUGAAAGUCCUGUAGUUGAAAACUUAACUGAGCUAGUCGGAUCCCGAGUAGCAUGGAGCACGUGAAAUUCCGUGUGAAUCAUCGAGGACCACCUCGAAAGGCUAAAUACUCCUGUGUGACCGAUAGUGAACUAGUACCGCGAGGGAACGGUGAAAAGAACCCCGGGAGGGGAGUGAAAUAGAACAUGAAACCAUCUGCUUACAAGCAAUGGGAGGACGAUUCAACGUCUGACCGUGUGCCUGUUGAAGAAUGAGCCGGCGACUUAUAGGAACAGGUAGAUUAAGGCGGAGAUGCCGAAGUCAAAGGGAAACCGAGUCUGAAGAGGGCGAAUUGAUCUGUUUUUAUAGACCCGAACCCCGGUGAUCUAACCAUGUCCAGGAUGAAGCUUGGGUAACACCAAGUGGAGGUCCGAACCGACUGAUGUUGAAAAAUCAGCGGAUGAGGUGUGGUUAGGGGUGAAAUGCCAAUCGAACCGGGAGCUAGCUGGUUCUCCCCGAAAUGUGUUGAGGCGCAGCGGUUAGAGUUUAAGUCUGGGGGUAAAGCACUGAUUCGGUGCGGGCUGGGAGACCGGUACCAAAUCGAGUCAAACUCAGAAUACCAGAUGUAGAUCUAGCCAGUGAGACGGUGGGGGAUAAGCUUCAUCGUCAAGAGGGAAACAGCCCAGACCAUCAGCUAAGGUCCCCAAAUCACAUCUCAGUGGUAAAGGAGGUGGGAAUGCAGAGACAACCAGGAGGUUUGCCUAGAAGCAGCCAUCCUUGAAAGAGUGCGUAAUAGCUCACUGGUCAAGCGUUCCUGCGCCGAAAAUGAACGGGACUAAGAUGUGUACCGAAGCUAUGGACUUGUACUUGUACAAGUGGUAGGGGAGCGUUCUGUGGUAGUGAGAAGCAUCAGCGGCAAGCAGGUGUGGACGAAGCAGAAGUGAGAAUGUCGGCUUGAGUAGCGCAAACAUUGGUGAGAAUCCAAUGCCCUGAAAUCCUAAGGGUUCCUCCGGAAGGCUCGUCCGCGGAGGGUGAGUCGGGACCUAAGGCGAGGUCGAAAGACGUAGUCGAUGGAUAACUGGUGAAGAUUCCAGUACUCGAUUCAAAUUGUGACGGGGGACGGAGAAGGCUAAUCUAGCUCCAUGUUGGUUAGGAGUUCAAGCUAACGAGGCUGUGAGAGGUGGCGGAAACACCUUGAGCUGAGUGGUGAGUACGAGGGUCUACGGACUCGAAGUAGAUGAGGUCAGGCUUCCAAGAAAAUCCCGGAUCACGCUAAUUUGAAUCACCCGUACCCGAAACCGACACAGGUAGGAUAGUUGAGAAAACUCAAGGGCGCGAGAUAACUCUCUCUAAGGAACUCGGCAAAAUGACCCCGUAACUUCGGGAGAAGGGGUGCCACCGCGAGGUGGUCGCAGUGAAGAGGCCCAAGCGACUGUUUACCAAAAACACAGGUCUCCGCUAAGUUGCAAAACGAUGUAUGGGGGCUGACGCCUGCCCAGUGCCGGAAGGUUAAAGAAGUCGGUCAGGGAGUUUACUCCUGAAGCUGGCGACUGAAGCCCCGGUGAACGGCGGCCGUAACUAUAACGGUCCUAAGGUAGCGAAAUUCCUUGUCGGGUAAGUUCCGACCCGCACGAAAGGCGUAACGAUUUGGGCGCUGUCUCGGAGAGAGGCUCGGCGAAAUAGGAUUGUCUGUGAAGAUACGGACUACCUGCACCUGGACAGAAAGACCCUAUGAAGCUUUACUGUAGCCUGGAAUUGGGUUCGGGCUUUAACUGCGCAGGAUAGGUGGGAGGCUAUGAAGGUGUCCUUGUGGGGACACUGGAGCCAACGGUGAGAUACCACUCUGUUAAGGCUAGAAUUCUAACUUGUGCCCGUGAUCCGGGACGAGAACAGUUUCAGGUGGGCAGUUUGACUGGGGCGGUCGCCUCCUAAAUGGUAACGGAGGCGCGCAAAGGUUCUCUCAGGCUGGUUGGAAAUCAGCCGUAGAGUGUAAAAGCACAAGAGAGCUUGACUGUGAGAGAAACACCUCGAGCAGGGACGAAAGUCGGCUUUAGUGAUCCGACGGCAGAGCGUGGAAUCGCCGUCGCUAAACGGAUAAAAGUUACUCUAGGGAUAACAGGCUGAUCUCCCCCAAGAGUUCACAUCGACGGGGAGGUUUGGCACCUCGAUGUCGGCUCAUCGCAACCUGGGGCGGUAGUACGUCCCAAGGGUUGGGCUGUUCGCCCAUUAAAGCGGUACGUGAGCUGGGUUCAGAACGUCGUGAGACAGUUCGGUCCAUAUCCGGUGCAGGCGCAAGAGUAUUGAGAGGAGUCUUCCUUAGUACGAGAGGACCGGGAAGAACGCACCGCUGGUGUACCAGUUAUCGUGCCAACGGUAGACGCUGGGUAGCCAAGUGCGGAGUGGAUAACCGCUGAAAGCAUCUAAGUGGGAAGCCCACCUCAAGAUGAGUACUCUCAUGGUGUUAAACCAGUAAGGUCACGGGGAGAACACCCGUUGAUAGGCGGUAGGUGGAAGUGUGGUAACACAUGCAGCCGAGCCGUACUAAUAGACCGAGGGCUUGACCUC
rnacentral:rRNA from 1 species